CCCAUUACUGAUGAAGAUCUUAUGCUUCAAAUUCUUGGAGGGCUAGGUUCAGAUUAUGAUACCCUUAUUGUAUCUGUAACCUCUAGACUUGAAACUAUAACACUUGCUGAUCUAUAUGGACUUUUGUUGAGCCAUGAGU
rnacentral:snoRNA from 1 species